rnacentral:rRNA from 1 species
UGCAGUCGAACGAUGAUCCCAGCUUGCUGGGGGAUUAGUGGCGAACGGGUGAGUAACACGUGAGUAACCUGCCCUUAACUCUGGGAUAAGCCUGGGAAACUGGGUCUAAUACCGGAUAUGACUCCUCAUCGCAUGGUGGGGGGUGGAAAGCUUUAUUGUGGUUUUGGAUGGACUCGCGGCCUAUCAGCUUGUUGGUGAGGUAAUGGCUCACCAAGGCGACGACGGGUAGCCGGCCUGAGAGGGUGACCGGCCACACUGGGACUGAGACACGGCCCAGACUCCUACGGGAGGCAGCAGUGGGGAAUAUUGCACAAUGGGCGAAAGCCUGAUGCAGCGACGCCGCGUGAGGGAUGACGGCCUUCGGGUUGUAAACCUCUUUCAGUAGGGAAGAAGCGAAAGUGACGGUACCUGCAGAAGAAGCGCCGGCUAACUACGUGCCAGCAGCCGCGGUAAUACGUAGGGCGCAAGCGUUAUCCGGAAUUAUUGGGCGUAAAGAGCUCGUAGGCGGUUUGUCGCGUCUGCCGUGAAAGUCCGGGGCUCAACUCCGGAUCUGCGGUGGGUACGGGCAGACUAGAGUGAUGUAGGGGAGACUGGAAUUCCUGGUGUAGCGGUGAAAUGCGCAGAUAUCAGGAGGAACACCGAUGGCGAAGGCAGGUCUCUGGGCAUUAACUGACGCUGAGGAGCGAAAGCAUGGGGAGCGAACAGGAUUAGAUACCCUGGUAGUCCAUGCCGUAAACGUUGGGCACUAGGUGUGGGGGACAUUCCACGUUUUCCGCGCCGUAGCUAACGCAUUAAGUGCCCCGCCUGGGGAGUACGGCCGCCAGGCUAAACUCAAAAGAAUUGACGGGGGCCCCACAAACGGCGGAACAUGCGGAUUAUUCGAUGCACCCGAAAACCUUACCAAGCUUGAAUGAACC